CUUGGUUCAGGACGAACGCUGGCGGCGUGCCUAAUACAUGCAAGUCGAACGGUCUUUCUAUGGAAGCUUGCUUCCACUGAGAAGAUAGUGGCGAACGGGUGAGUAACACGUGGGUAACCUGCCCAUAAGAGGGGGAUAACAUCCGGAAACGGGUGCUAAUACCGCAUAGUUUUCUUGAUCGCAUGAUUGAGAAAGGAAAGAUGGCCUUUGUGCUGUCGCUUAUGGAUGGACCCGCGGCGUAUUAGUUAGUUGGUGAGGUAACGGCUCACCAAGACGAUGAUACGUAGCCGACCUGAGAGGGUGAUCGGCCACAUUGGGACUGAGACACGGCCCAAACUCCUACGGGAGGCAGCAGUAGGGAAUCUUCCGCAAUGGACGAAAGUCUGACGGAGCAACGCCGCGUGAGUGAAGAAAGGUUUUCGGAUCGUAAAACUCUGUUGUCAGAGAAGAACAAGUUGGAGAGUAACUGCUCCAGCCUUGACGGUAUCUGACCAGAAAGCCACGGCUAACUACGUGCCAGCCGCCGC
rnacentral:rRNA from 1 species